rnacentral:rRNA from 1 species
UUCUUGGUCAUUUAGAGGAAGUAAAAGUCGUAACAAGGUUUCCGUAGGUGAACCUGCGGAAGGAUCAUUAAAGAAAUUUAAUAAUUUUGAAAAUGGAUUUUUUUGUUUUGGCAAGAGCAUGAGAGCUUUUACUGGGCAAGAAGACAAGAGAUGGAGAGUCCAGCCGGGCCUGCGCUUAAGUGCGCGGUCUCGCUAGGCUUGUAAGUUUCUUUCUUGCUAUUCCAAACGGUGAGAGAUUUCUGUGCUUUUGUUAUAGGACAAUUAAAACCGUUUCAAUACAACACACUGUGGAGUUUUCAUAUCUUUGCAACUUUUUCUUUGGGCAUUCGAGCAAUCGGGGCCCAGAGGUAACAAACACAAACAAUUUUAUCUAUUCAUUAAAUUUUUGUCAAAAACAAGAAUUUUCGUAACUGGAAAUUUUAAAAUAUUAAAAACUUUCAACAACGGAUCUCUUGGUUCUCGCAUCGAUGAAGAACGCAGCGAAAUGCGAUACGUAAUGUGAAUUGCAGAAUUCCGUGAAUCAUCGAAUCUUUGAACGCACAUUGCGCCCCUUGGUAUUCCAGGGGGCAUGCCUGUUUGAGCGUCAUUUCCUUCUCAAACAUUCUGUUUGGUAGUGAGUGAUACUCUUUGGAGUUAACUUGAAAUUGCUGGCCUUUUCAUUGGAUGUUUUUUUUCCAAAGAGAGGUUUCUCUGCGUGCUUGAGGUAUAAUGCAAGUACGGUCGUUUUAGGUUUUACCAACUGCGGCUAAUCUUUUUUUAUACUGAGCGUAUUGGAACGUUAUCGAUAAGAAGAGAGCGUCUAGGCGAACAAUGUUCUUAAAGUUUGACCUCAAAUCAGGUAGGAGUACCCGCUGAACUUAAGCAUAUCAAUAAGCGGAGGAA